UCGAAGACUGGGAUAACUACUGGAAACGGUAGCUAAUACCGGAUGAUUCAUAUUUAGAUAACUAGAUAUGCUAAAAGGAGCUUCGGCUUCAUUCGAGAUGGGCUUGCGUUGUAUUAGCUAGUUGGUGAGGUAAUGGCUCACCAAGGCAACGAUGCAUAUCCGAGCUGAGAGGCUGAACGGACACAUUGGGACUGAGACACGGCCCAGACUCCCUACGGGAGACAGCAGUUAGGAAUAUUCGUCAAUGGGGGAAACCCUGAACGAGCAAUGCCGCGUGAGUGAUGAAGGUCUUAUAGAUCGUAAAACUCUGUUGUAAAGGAAGAACACUUAUUAUAGGUAAUGAUAAUAAGUUGACGGUACUUUACCAGAAAGCCCCGGCUAACUACGUG
rnacentral:rRNA from 1 species